AACGAACGCUGGCGGCAUGCCUAACACAUGCAAGUCGAACGAGACCUUCGGGUCUAGUGGCGCACGGGUGCGUAACGCGUGGGAACCUGCCCUUAGGUUCGGAAUAACUCCCCGAAAGGGGUGCUAAUACCGGAUAAUGUCUUCGGACCAAAGAUUUAUCGCCUUUGGAUGGGCCCGCGUUGGAUUAGCUAGUUGGUAGGGUAAAAGCCUACCAAGGCGACGAUCCAUAGCUGGUCUGAGAGGAUGAUCAGCCACACUGGGACUGAGACACGGCCCAGACUCCUACGGGAGGCAGCAGUGGAGAAUAUUGGACAAUGGGCGAAAGCCUGAUCCAGCAAUGCCGCGUGAGUGAUGAGGGCCUUAGGGUUGUAAAGCUCUUUUACCCGGGAUGAUAAUGACAGUACCGGGAGAAUAAGCUCCGGCUAACUCCGUG
rnacentral:rRNA from 1 species